rnacentral:rRNA from 1 species
AUUGAACGCUGGCGGCAGGCCUAACACAUGCAAGUCGAGCGGAUGAAGGGAGGUUGCUCCUGGAUUCAGCGGCGGACGGGUGAGUAAUGCCUAGGAAUCUGCCUGGUAGUGGGGGAUAACGUCCGGAAACGGGCGCUAAUACCGCAUACGUCCUGAGGGAGAAAGUGGGGGAUCUUCGGACCUCACGCUAUCAGAUGAGCCUAGGUCGGAUUAGCUAGUUGGUGGGGUAAAGGCCUACCAAGGCGACGAUCCGUAACUGGUCUGAGAGGAUGAUCAGUCACACUGGAACUGAGACACGGUCCAGACUCCUACGCGAGGCAGCAGUGGGGAAUAUUAGACACUGGGCGAAAGCCUGAUCCAGCCAUGCCGCGUGUGUGAAGAAGGUCUUCAGAUUGUAAAGCACUUUAAGUUGGGAGGAAGGGCAGUAAGUCAAUACCUUGCUGUUUUGACGUUACCAACAGAAUAAGCACCGGCUAACUUCGUG